rnacentral:rRNA from 3 species
CAGAGGUGGAAGUAUGGCAACAUAUGGAGCUGACUGUUACUAAUAGGUCGAGGGCAUAACCAAG